rnacentral:sRNA from 1 species
AUGGACGUUGACACUGCGUUUCUAAACUCAACCAUGGAUGAGCCGAUCUACGUAAAACAACCACCCGGGUUUGUUAACGAGAGGAAUCCCGACUAUGUAUGGGAACUAUACGGCGGUAUGUAUGGACUCAAACAAGCCCCAUUACUAUGGAACGAACAUAUCAACAAUACUCUUAAAAAGAUUGGUUUCUGUCGACAUGAAGGCGAACAUGGCUUAUAUUUUCGUUCCACAUCUGAUGGUCCCAUCUACAUUGCCGUAUACGUAGACGACUUACUUGUUGCUGCUCCCUCUCCUAAAAUAUAUGACAGGGUUAAGCAAGAAUUAACGAAAUUAUACUCAAUGAAGGAUCUCGGUAAAGUUGACAAAUUCCUCGGUCUUAACAUUCAUCAAUCGUCAAACGGAGACAUCACUCUCUCCCUUCAAGACUAUAUUGCUAAAGCUGCAUCUGAAAGCGAAAUAAACACAUUUAAACUUACACAGACUCCGCUCUGCAACUCAAAGCCUCUUUUCGAAACAACUUCCCCGCAUCUAAAAGACAUCACUCCUUAUCAGAGCAUAGUUGGUCAGCUUCUCUUUUGUGCAAAUACUGGUCGUCCGGACAUAUCGUAUCCAGUCUCAUUACUCUCCAGGUUCCUUCGAGAACCUCGCGCAAUCCAUUUGGAGUCUGCUCGGCGGGUUCUACGGUACCUAUAUACCACCAGAAGUAUGUGUCUCAAGUAUCGUUCUGGAUCUCAGUUGGCAUUAACUGUAUAUUGUGAUGCAUCUCAUGGAGCUAUUCACGAUCUACCACACUCUACUGGGGGGUACGUGACUCUACUUGCUGGUGCUCCCGUUACGUGGUCAUCGAAGAAGCUCAAGGGUGUGAUUCCUGUACCAUCUACUGAGGCAGAAUACAUUACUGCAAGUGAAACUGUCAUGGAGAUAUAA